rnacentral:lncRNA from 1 species
GUGUAUAGAGUAGCGGAAACAUCUUAGGUGAAGCUUCUAAGGUAGAAGAGGUGGAUAAAUCAUGUCGCGCCCACCGACAUGACCUCCAUUAGCAGACUAAGUCAGCACCUGCAACAGGGGUUAUAAAACCCUGAGUACAAAAGUACUCAACAAGACUUAACCGACUAGAAAAGAGAUGAAGACUCAGGUAUGCAGGCUAUAGGGAUUCAAGGUAAAGCUUUAUCAAGAUAAAGCAUUUCUUUUGCAUAAAAGCUUACUAAGAGUAAAACCUGCUUUCAAGUUUUAACUCAAGAUCAUUAUUUAUGACUAACCAAAACUAUUAUCAAACUUUCAUAAGCAUACCACCUCUUUCUCUUACCAAAGAUCAUUUAUUACUACGAUGAUGGGGUGAGGAUUGAGGCUCCAUAUCCGAGGAAACACGGCGAUUCGAAUCGAUUAAACCCAGCUGGGGAUUCAGUACCACACGACAUAUGUAGAACUCAAUCUUGCAUAUGUCAACCUGUUUCUAUAGAUCCUCCCAUACAAGAACGGGUCCAGCGUCACCCGAGAGUACAGUACACCACCAUCCUACAGCCAAUCUAGAUGUUUCCCGGUCAUCUCAGAUCCGUAAGGUGGUUACACGCUACUCUCGCCAUCUCUCCACUCCCAGUACGCGGUUAGCCGUUCUCAAGUAUCGGAAUAGCUAUAGGUAAGGCUUACCAGUGCAUGUGGGCUGUACUCAAAGGUCUCAAUCACAACAGGCCAACAACGGAACGGUCCUUAAUCGACACAGUGGAAGACACUACUUUAAGACUCCAUUCUUAAAGCAAGUCCACCGACCGGUCUCAAGUUGAACAGUAUUGACCUUAAAAGUAUUCCACAACAACCCUUCAAACUUUCUCAUUUGGAAACUUAUCUAAUAAGCAGGACUAAGCAUACUAAGUAUUUUCAUAAAACAGGUAUCAAGGUUAAUAUGGAAAUCAUCAAGGUAGAUAAUGCAGCAAAUAGGAUUCACUCAACUCCUAUUCACCUAAUGCAUCAGAUUAACUCAAGUGAUAUAAAUAACUUUAUGAAAAUACAAGGAUAGGGUUUAAUGUCCGGGGCUUGCCUUGGCCGGAAGGGAAGUCCGACAACUCAGCAAAACCAGAUGGAUCCACAAACUCGGAAGCAACCCACUGAGGAUUAGAUUCCUCCGGAGCGUAGUCUACACGUAGAGUUGCAUAUGCAUGAUCAAUGAGAUGUUCAUGACAUGAUAAAGACAGGUUACAAGUUCUUGGAUGAUAACAACAAUCAUAACUACCUCGAGUACAACUUACCUUCACGGUAUAGAAACAAACUAACUUAGCUAUCAAAACAUAAAUUACUACUAAGCAAAUUUUAUCAUCUUCAUUAAGCAAGGUUGUGAAGCUAUCAUACAACAAAGAUCAUUUAUAUGAAAUAAACCAUAGCAUAUCAUGCCAAGUAACCACUGGUUGUCAAUCAAUCCCAAAGAUCAAUCAAAACCUAAAAUGAUUAGGUUUUCUAUUUAUCUUAAUCAAUUCUUAAUUAAAUAUUAAUGGCAGUAAUUAAGUAUUAACAUCAAACAAUAAUUAAAUGCCAAAGGUCAUUAAGGUUAAUGACCUCAGGUCAUCACACAAUCCCAAAAGCACUCAAAUUCUAAUUUGGAAAUUAAGUUACUCAUUAUUUAAGUAAAGGCUAGCUAAAAGCAAACAAAUCUAUUUGCACACAAAACCAGGACAGCAGCAUAUACACAACUUCAUUCAACCAUAAUUAGGGAUCCAAACAUCCAACAAAGGUGAUAUUAGACUUUCUGGAAAUCUUAGAUAAUUUUCUACAACUUUGUUAUUAUCUUCGAGAACUGAUUUAAUAGAUAAAAUGGCCAAACAGUAUGAAUAAACAAUUUUGUCCAGACCUUGGACAGAAUCAGACAUUAAGCUUCAUACAUCUAUAACCAGAGUUCUAGAUCACCAAAAUUCAUGAUCCAUAACAUUUUGGAAAGCUUAUGAAAAUUACUACAAUUCAUCUUUUAUCAUGAAAGCAUGAUUCAUAAGUUUAGUAGGUUGAAAUUGCACAACUACAGAAACUGAUCCAGAAUUUGACAGAGAGGAACCAUUUCUGAAACUUAAAUUUAAACAGGCAUAACUCAGAAACUAUAGGGCCAAAUGCCACCAAAAUUUAACACCAGCUAGAUACAUGAAUUCUAUACAACUUUGUUAUAGACAAGUUUCAUAUCCAACAUUAUUUACCUAGAGCAAUUCAUAAGGUUCCAGAAACUGUCCAGAAAUCACUAAUAAUUUAAUUAUAGACAAAUAACAUUUCAUUAAUGUUUCAAACUUGGACCUGGGCAAAACCCAGCUCACAAAUAGUUGAAAUACAUUAAAGAGAUACUAGAAAACAUCAUGGUCAUCCCUAAAUAAAUUCCUUUCAUGUUUUUAUUAAUUUAUUUAGGUAAAUAGACAAAGCAAUAACCAUAUAUCAAAAGUACACAGUAAAUUCUGAGAAAACUACAGCAGCUCAUAUAUGCUCUCCAAAGUCUACUGUAUAAGUUUCAUGCCAUUUGGAUAAGUAUAGCAAUUUCUAUGAAAAAGAUAAAUUUCCAUCACAAGGAAGCAUGUAACAACAAGAUAAAUAAGAAACUUGACAUUUUCUACAAACACAUAGCUAAAUUAUGUACCUAUAUGAUAUAACAACCUCAUAUAAAGGUACAGGAACCAUAUUUUACAUUUAUUUAUUUUUAGUCUAAUUUUAAACUAUUUAAUAAGCACUAAACAAGAUAAAUUAAUAACUUAACCAUAUAUCAUCUACUGAACAUGAAAUCUUUACUGUAACACUCACAUAGCAUCAUAAGAACACCAAUAAAAUUUCAGGCCCAUAGGAGCUACACAGAAUUAGAUAUGAAUUUCUCCUUUUUAAACAUAAUUAAAAGGCAUAAAUCAUAACUAAUUAUUUUACUACAAAACAUGGUCAGUUUCAUAUUUUUAAUAAAAACUAGACAUCUCAAGGAGCACAACAAAAUUUGGUUCACCAAAAUUGGAGUUACCAAACUCCAGAUAUGAAUUUUCAAAGAUUCAACAAAACAUCUACAAACAAGUCCUUAUAGCACUAUUCACCUGAGUCACAGCCUGUGCAAUUAGACCCCUGGAGAACUUCCAAUUGUUGCGCGUGGUCCCUGGUCACGAUUCCAGAGCAGAGGAUGUCGGAGAAAACCUGAUUUCCGGCCCGUGGACGCUUGUUGGCAGCGAGGGAAAGCAUUGGGGAGCAUCCUGAGGCUCGCGCGCUCGCGCUGGUGUCAGCGGCUUGGCCGGAGAAGGUCUGUGGCCUCCUGGCCACGUGUGCAGGCGGCCAUGGCGGAGCUCUGUGAGCGGAAACUGGCUCACGGUUGAUCCCGACGAGGGGAGAGAGCACUAGCUGGCCUACCCGAUGCGCAAGGAUGCUGCGGAGCUGAAGAAGAGAUCAACUAGGCUUAGGUGUGAGGAGCGAGAUAAAUUCCGUCGGUGACCCAAGGUCACGGCGGCGGACAGAAAGAGGAGGAGCGAGGGUAAAGCUCUGGCUCCCUUUGGAUGAGGAUGCCUUCGACUCGUCCAUCUCAUGGUGACAGCAACCACGCAAGCAGCUGCGUGCCAGCCAUGCCCAUGGCAACGUGGGGAAGCAGGGGUGCCGGACAGAGUCGCGGUGCUCUGUUCCCAA